UACAGAGGGUGCGAGCGUUAAUCGGAAUUACUGGGCGUAAAGGGUGCGCAGGCGGUUAUAUAAGACAGAUGUGAAAUCCCCGGGCUCAACCUGGGAACUGCGUUUGUGACUGUAUGACUAGAGUACGGUAGAGAGGGGUGGAAUUCCUGGUGUAGCAGUGAAAUGCGUAGAUAUCAGGAGGAACAUCGAUGGCGAAGGCAGCCCCUUGGACCUGUACUGACGCUCAUGCACGAAAGCGUGGGGAGCAAACAGG
rnacentral:rRNA from 1 species